GACGAACGCUGGCGGCGUGCUUAACACAUGCCAGUCGAACGGUGAAGCGCCUUCCUUUUUGGUGGGUGUGGAGGAGUGGCCAACGGGUGAGUAACACGUGAGUAACCUGCCCCCUUCUUCUGGAUAACGUCAUGAAAGUGUGGCUAAUACGGGAUAUUCUGGGUCUGUCGCAUGAUGGGUCUGGGGAAGAUUUUGUUUCGGUGGGGGAUGGGCUCGGGGCCUAUCGGCGGGGGGGUGGGGUGAUGGCCUACCAAGGCGGUGACGGGUAGCUGGGCUGAGAGGGUGAGGGGCUACAGCGGAAAGGAGACACGGGCAAGACGGCGACGGGAGGCAGCAGGGGGGAAGAGUGGACGAGGGGGGCAAGGCUGAUCCAACCAUACCGCGUGGGGGAAGAAGGCCUUCGGGUUGGAAAGCCCUGUUGGUGGGAAAGAAAAGCAGCAGGUUAAUACCCCGCUGUGCUGAGGGUACCAAAAGAAUAAGCACCGGCUAACUUCGUG
rnacentral:rRNA from 1 species